rnacentral:antisense_RNA from 1 species
CAGAAAUGCCACAAUGUUGAAAGGAAUGCAUUACAGUUCCCACAAACACACACCCCUCCCUGCAACCACUACAAGAUAUGCAAGCAACUCUGAGCUGACUUGGAUCUAAUUCUUCCCAAUUCAUGCCACAAGCCCAACUCAUCGGCUGAUACCUGAGGAUGAUCCACUGCUCACUGAGCGUGGUCAGGGAGCGCCGCUGUCGGACGAGCAUCUUCAUCAAAUGUGCUGAGAACCCUCUGCACCUCUCCACAUUGCCCAUGCCCAUUUCCUGGCAGAAGAAGGAAAAACAUGCUGAAGGGGCUGCUGACAAACAUCACCCACAGAUGUGCCUCUAGAAAGCUGUUUCUACUAUAAGCGUCAGACAUGCCACACUCUAGAGGUGACAUAUUCAUUUUUUUGAGCAGUGUUUCUCCAAUUAUGCUUGCACAGAUCAUUGAUAUUCCAUAGACAGGAACUGGAUUUAACUCCAAAA